rnacentral:tRNA from 1 species
UUGUGAAGCUCAGCGGUAGAGUGCUUGCCUAGCAUGUGUGAGGCCCUGGGUUCAAUCCUCAGCACUGCAUAAA